rnacentral:rRNA from 1 species
AGCGAACGCUGGCGGCGUGCUUAACACAUGCAAGUCGAACGUGAAAGUAGCAAUAUGAGUAAAGUGGCGUACGGGUGAGUAACACGUGGGUAAUCUACCUUAGAGUCUGGAAUAACGCGCCGAAAGGCGCGCUAAUACUGGAUAGUUCAAGCGCAUCGUAGAGGUGCGAUUGGGAAAGGGAGCUCGUAAGAGCCUUCGCUUUAGGAUGAGCCCGCGUCUGAUUAGCUAGUUGGUGAGGUAAUGGCUCACCAAGGCGACGAUCAGUAGCUGGUCUGAGAGGAUGAUCAGCCACACUGGAACUGAAACACGGUCCAGACUCCUACGGGAGGCAGCAGUGGGGAAUCUUGCGCAAUGGACGAAAGUCUGACGCAGCCACGCCGCGUGAGUGAAGAAGGCCUUCGGGUUGUAAGACUCUGUCGGAGGGGACGAAAACGUACAUUAGGUUAAUAGUCCUAGUGACUUGAUGGUACCUUAAGGUAAGACACCGCGUAA